rnacentral:lncRNA from 1 species
CAAAUUCACAAACCUAAGGCAUCUAGGGAGCAAUUUUCCUCGAAACCUUCUCCUAACGAACAUCAAUUGAACAUUUAGACUGAGAAAUUGAGUAGUGUACUCAGGAAACCAACUUUGACCGAAAACAAACGACAACAAAUGUUAGUAGAAUUUAACAUUGAAACUUACUAAUUUGGCUUCCAAUGGAAGAAAAACAGAAACAAAACUCUUACGACUGCAGCAGCAAAAUCUGAUAAGCAAAAUUUGAGAAUUGAGUGACGAAAUUGAGAAGAAGAAAAAUAAAAGAAAAACAAAGAAAAGGAGACAAGACAAGAAAAAUAAAAGAAAAACAAAGAAAAGGAGACAAGACAAAGUUACUUUCACAUAAAAAAAUUAAAAAUAUUAUUCCAAAAGCCAGCUAACUAAUCCCGC